AGCUCACCCGCUGGGGCAGGGACCCCCGAGAGGCGCGGAGCUGCUGUGGACACACGAAGCUAUCAAAGUCUUGAAGAGAGGAGAUCAUAGGCCUUUGUAUAUCAAAGGCAUCACAGCAGAGCUUCAUCAGAUGCAGUAUACAGUGACAGAAGGGAAUGUCACUGACUACCACUGCUCACAAAAUAAAAGGUUGGGUGGUACAAAAGACCAACAGAGGCUGAGACCAGACCCCAGCCUGGCCCGGCUCACAUUAAUCCAGGUUUUAUGGACCUCAGGCUGUGCGUUUUGUCUUGAAACCAGGACAGUUUUUAAUGCAGUCUUUGAAAGCAGCUUCAGAUUUUUCCCUCCAGCACCUUGGUCCUUCCAUUUGUUCCUGUCCUUGGUGAUUCAGAGCAGUAAAAUGGCCAAGCUUAUGGGAAAAAUAAUGAACAACAAAUGCCUUUUGGCAGGGUUUGUCUAUUUUGGUGUCAGAUUGGUCUUUUGACCAUCAAGCCACCACUCGGAACUGCCACCUCUUGAUUAAAUCACAUGCUGCUUGCGAUUCCACAUGAAUGGAUGUAUGUCCUUGCUGUACUCCUGAAGCUAUGAACUUGCCCUGGAAGGGCCUUUGUCUCAGUGUUCAUCAAUCCAGAACUGGCAGGAUUAAUAUGAAGCCAAGGAUUAUCCACUCUGGGAUCAUGCCUAGACUUAAGUCAAUGAUUGCAUGUUUUGCUUGUCAGGUUUUGUGCUUGCAGCCCCAGGGUGAUCUGAAAUAAAUCAGCAGGAAUGAA